UAGAUUAGGACCAGUCCACUGUGGG
rnacentral:piRNA from 1 species